AAGUCGUAACAAGGUUUCCGUAGGUGAACCUGCGGAAGGAUCAUUAUUGAAUGAACUUGGUGUGGUUGUCGCUGGCCCUCUUGGGGGCAUGUGCACACCUACCAUCCUCAUCUCUCCACCUGUGCACCUCUUGUAGAUUUGGAAUUGAUUAUCCGAGGCAACUCGGUCGUGAGGACUGCUAGCACUUAGCUGGCUUUCUUUGCAAUUCCAGGUCUAUGUUUUUCAUAUACCCCAUUGUAUGUAACAGAAUGUAUCAUUGGGCCCUUGUGCCUAUAAACCUUAUACAACUUUCAGCAACGGAUCUCUUGGCUCUC
rnacentral:misc_RNA from 1 species